GCCUCGGCGGGGUCACGCCCCGGGUGCGUCGCAGCCCCGGAACCAGGCGCCCGCCGGAGGGACCAACCAAACUCUUUCUGUAGUCCCCUCGCGGACGUUAUUUCUUACAGCUCUGAGCAAAAAUUCAAAAUGAAUCAAAACUUUCAACAACGGAUCUCUUGGUUCUGGCAUCGAUGAAGAACGCAGCGAAAUGCGAUAAGUAAUGUGAAUUGCAGAAUUCAGUGAAUCAUCGAAUCUUUGAACGCACAUUGCGCCCGCCAGUAUUCUGGCGGGCAUGCCUGUCCGAGCGUCAUUUCAACCCUCGAACCCCUCCGGGGGGUCGGCGUUGGGGAUCGGGAACCCCUAAGACGGGAUCCCGGCCCCGAAAUACAGUGGCGGUCUCGCCGCAGCCUCUCCUGCGCAGUAGUUUGCACAACUCGCACCGGGAGCGCGGCGCGUCCACGUCCGUAAAACACCCAACUUCUGAAAUGUUGACCUCGGAUCAGGUAAGAAUACCCGCUGAACUUAAGCAUAUC
rnacentral:rRNA from 1 species